rnacentral:rRNA from 1 species
UACGAAGGGGGCUAGCGUUGCUCGGAAUUACUGGGCGUAAAGGGCGCGUAGGCGGCUGUUUAAGUCAGAGGUGAAAGCCCAGGGCUCAACCUUGGAACUGCCUUUGAUACUGGGCAUCUUGAGUAUGGGAGAGGUGAGUGGAACUCCGAGUGUAGAGGUGAAAUUCGUAGAUAUUCGGAAGAACACCAGUGGCGAAGGCGACUCACUGGCCCAUUACUGACGCUGAGGCGCGAAAGCGUGGGGAGCAAACAGG